rnacentral:tRNA from 1 species
AUCUCCUUAGUAUAAUAAAUACUAGUGAUUUCCAAUCACUUAAUCCAAAAACCUUUUGGAGAAGAUA